AAAAUUGCAGUGUCUCUCAAUGAAGCAUGUAACACCUGCACGAAAGAUACGUCUGUAGAGCUCUGCUCGAUUUGCAAGGAAAAGGUGAGAACGGCAAUUACAAGGAGGGUGCACGGACUAAUGGACGGCGACUUCGGAGGAUUCUCAGAGGCAUUGGUCCAAAAACUUCGCCAACAACUAGACACCGAGAUGGACGGCCACAACUGGACGGAACUUGCCCGGGACCUACUUGGGGAGGGUCUUCGGUCAAACGACAUCGCUCGUCAAGAAAGUCCCGCAAAGGAGACUCUCAAAGUCUACUUUGCAGGCUGUCGAGCUGAUCAUACUCCAGACAAGCUAG